rnacentral:rRNA from 1 species
UACGGGGGGAGCAAGCGUUGUUCGGAUUUACUGGGCGUAAAGGGCGCGUAGGCGGCCACCGCAAGUCGACUGUGAAAUCUCCGGGCUUAACCCGGAAAGGUCAGCCGAUACUGCGGGGCUAGAGUGCAGAAGGGGCAACUGGAAUUCUCGGUGUAGCGGUGAAAUGCGUAGAUAUUCGGAAGAACACCAGUGGCGAAGGCGACUUACUGGACACAUAUUGACGCUGAGGUGCGAAAGCGUGGGGAGCAAACAGGAU